AGAUAGCGGACCACCACAGGUGCCGCAAGGCUAAAAGGGAAUCAGGUGAAAAUCCUGAGCGGUCGCGCCACUGUAACCGGGGAGCCGUCCUUCGUAAAGCCCACUGGGGUACGCCCUGGGAAGGGGAAGGAUGGCGGUGAGCCGGAGCCAGGAGACCUACCUGUGGUGACUCUAAACC
rnacentral:ncRNA from 2 species